GACGAACGCUGGCGGCGUGCUUAACACAUGCAAGUCGAACGGAAAGGCCCUGCUUGCAGGGUACUCGAGUGGCGAACGGGUGAGUAACACGUGGGUGAUCUGCCCUGCACUUCGGGAUAAGCCUGGGAAACUGGGUCUAAUACCGGAUAGGAGCCAUUUUUAGUGUGAUGGUUGGAAAGUUUUUUCGGUGUAGGAUGAGCUCGCGGCCUAUCAGCUUGUUGGUGGGGUAAUGGCCUACCAAGGCGGCGACGGGUAGCCGGCCUGAGAGGGUGGACGGCCACAUUGGGACUGAGAUACGGCCCAGACUCCUACGGGAGGCAGCAGUGGGGAAUAUUGCACAAUGGGCGCAAGCCUGAUGCAGCGACGCCGCGGGGGGGAUGACGGCCUUCGGGUUGAAAACUCCUUUCGCUAGGGACGAAGCUUUUUGUGACGGUACCUAGAUAAGAAGCACCGGCUAACUACGUG
rnacentral:rRNA from 1 species